rnacentral:rRNA from 1 species
AAGAUAAGGUGCCCGUACCGCAAACCGACACAGGUAGAUGAGGAGAGAAUCCUAAGGCCAACGGGAGAAAGGUUGUUAAGGAACUCGGCAAAAUUGCCCCGUAACUUCGGGAGAAGGGGCGCCUCCGAAAGGAGGCCGCAGUGAAAAGGCCCAAGCGACUGUUUACCAAAAACACAGGUCUCUGCUAAAUCGAAAGAUGACGUAUAGGGGCUGACGCCUGCCCGGUGCUGGAAGGUUAAGAGGAGAGCUUAGCGCAAGCGAAGGCUUGAAUUUAAGCCCCAGUAAACGGCGGCCGUAACAAUAACGGUCCUAAGGUAGCGAAAUUCCUUGUCAGGUAAGUUCUGACCCGCACGAAUGGCGUAACGAUUUGGGCGCUGUCUCAACAGCCUACCCGGCGAAAUUGUAGUACCGGUGAAGAUGCCGGUUACCCGCAACUAGACGGAAAGACCCCAUGGAGCUUUACUGCAGCUUAAUACUGAGAUUCGGUAAUUCAUGUACAGGAUAGGUGGGAGACUUGGAAACAGGGGCGUCAGCUUCUGCGGAGUCACCCUUGGGAUACCACCCUUGGAUUGCUGGGUUUCUAACCUGCGGCCAUGAAUCUGGUCGGGGGACACUGUUAGGCGGGCAGUUUGACUGGGGCGGUCGCCUCCUAAAAAGUAGCGGAGGCGCUCAAAGCUUGGCUCAGCAUGGAUGGAAAUCAUGCAAUGAGUGUAAACGUAUAAGCCAAGUUGACUGCGAGACCGACGGGUCGAGCAGGGACGAAAGUCGGAGUUAGUGGUCCGGUGGUAUGUGAGUGGAAAUGCCAUCGCUCAACGGAUAAAAGCUACCCUGGGAUAACAGGCUGAUCUCCCCCAAGCGUCCACAGCGACGGGGAGGUUUGGCACCUCGAUGUCGGCUCGUCGCAUCCUGGGGCUGUAUUCGGUCCCAAGGGUUUGGCUGUUCGCCAAUUAAAGCGGCACGCGAGCUGGGUUCAGAACGUCGUGAGACAGUUCGGUCCCUAUCUGUUGCGGGCGUAAGAGAUUUGAAGGGAGCUGUCCUUAGUACGAGAGGACCGGGAUGGACUGACCUCUGGUGCACCAGUUGUUCUGCCAAGGGCAUAGCUGGGUAGCUACGUCGGGACGAGAUAAACGCUGAAGGCAUCUAAGCGUGAAACUCCCCCUAAGAUAAGAUCUCUCAUCCUGAAAAGGAGUAAGGCUCGUCGUAGACUAUGACGUUGAUAGGUCAGGGGUGGAAGCACAGUAAUGUGUGUAGCUGACUGAUACUAAUAAGCCGAGGGCUUGACCU